rnacentral:lncRNA from 1 species
GGCAUUGCAAUGGAGCAUUGUAUAACAGAAGACUUAAGCAUAAUGAGAAACGUUGAACAGAUUAACUUUCAUGCCACCUAAAUUAGAGAUUGUCGCAUUACACUGCUACUUGUAAAGAUAAUGACAAAGAUACAUGCAGAUAGCCACCAUACAGGUCAGCACCCAGGUCACAGAUGAGGCAUGUAAACUACUGCAAAGGGACAGGACAUGCCUAAAACCUACACCUAAAAGGAUUCUGCAGUUUGUAAUCUAGAGUACAUACAGACAAUUACUCAGACCAAACAGCUGCAGAGCAACCUACAAAGCCAACAAAUUUUAGAAUUUCAUUGUCUUUUACCUUAUGGUAACAAACUUGUUUGUUCCAUGCUUCGCCCAGAAGGUCUUCAGGUCAAUCGGAUUAUUAAGAUUAUAACCUUCACCAGCAAGCUUCUCAAGUACUUUCUUGAACGCACCAUGGCUCAUCUUCCUGCCUGCGAUUCGUGCACCACGGCGCUUCGUACUCAUUGGCAGUGGGUACGUUGAGAUGGUGGUUGUGCAGCACGCAGAUUGCCAACCACCUGCACCCCACCGAUAGCACUGCUGUGGUGCGCCCGUGCAAGAACAAAUGGGCGUUGGUAUCCUUGAGAGGUCCAAAUCAAUACCAUUAAUUACCAUCCCUAUAUUCUUCCUGGGACCCCUUCUCCGUGGUGCUGGUGCAUUGGGUGGUGCGCCAUCCUCACGAGGAGCAGCAGACUUCUUGGGCUUCUUAGCCCUUGGUACCUUGGGUUGGCGGCCCUGCUGCCGCUUCUUGGGAGGUGGUGGCUCAUCAAUAACAGGUACAUUUUCCUCGAUCAAUGGCGAGGAAAUGCAUUCCUCUUUUGGCUGCUGAGGCGGUGGUGGGGGUUGCAGUUGAGGCUCUGUUUGCUGCUGCAUCAUCUGCAGGGUAUGCGUACCGGGGAUCAUCCCAUAGCCCACUGGGUCAUGAUGCGCAAUGUGCGAAGAACCAUGGCCAACAGUGAGAUUGUGAAGAGCCUUGUGCUCGCGGGGAUGAUGAUGUUGCUGCUGCUGUUGCGGGUGCAUCCACAUGUCACUGCGCGCGAAGUUCAUCGGCAUUGAAGGGGGAGCCUCCGUGGCAGGAGGAGGAGGCAUAGCACCACCAUUGGCAUUGCCAUUGGCGCCGCAGUCACGCGGGUGAUGGGGCUGAUGGUGGUGGUGCGGGACAUGCUGCUGAUGCUGAUGAUGCAGGAAGGGGCUACCAGAGAGCAGCUGCUUGGUGUCACGCUCAGCAGGCACCGACGACAUGAGCUGCAGGCCGAGGUUCCUCGCCGGCGACUCGAAGAAUCCCCCCCAUCUUAUGCUCAUGCUGGCGUCGUCGUCCAUCUCGCCGCCGCCGCAGCCGCCCAAUCCUACAGACCACCGGCCGGAUUCGAACAAGAGCGGCGCUGCACAGGGGCGUCUCCAACGUCGGACAUCCCAGAAAAAAGAAAUUUCUUUAGGGAAACAAACAAACAAGCAAAGAAACUGCUAUUAGUAUCACAUUACGAACAAAUCAAGAGAAAAGCUUUCCAGAUCCAGAUCUACAACGGAAGCUACGUACUAUCUAGGGUUAACGCACAGAAAUUCAUUCUUGAAAAAAAAAUUCGAAUAAAAAAAUGUGCGUAACGAGGGGCGGAUGCUCACCAGGACGCGAUACAGGAGGAACGGACGGCGACGGCGGCGGCGCUGGUCUCUGCUCGGCGGGUGGAUGCAGAUCGGCGCCGGAGACGGAGGGGGAAGAAAUAUCCUCCAAGAAGAGAAGAAGGAGAAGGAGAAGAAGAAUGAAUUUUUCUUUAUUUUUCACUUUUUUGUUAAUAGAAUAGAUAAAGGUGGGAGAGAUAUAUAGUUGGACCGAGCCGGACUGUAGGAGGCCCAGCCCGGCCCAUCCAAGCCACACCACCACACUGUUUUGGGAUGGAAUAAGUUCACUGUAGGUCCUUUAUCUUCAGAAAUUAUUAAACAUCCAUCUUUCAAAACCGGGUUAAAUAAGGCCCUGUGUAGUUCCCAAACAAAAAUUUUUCACCCUGUCACAUUGAAUGUUUCGGCAUAUGCAUGGAGUAUUAAAUAUAAAUAAAAAUAAUAAUUACACAGGUUACGUGUAAAUUGCGAGACGAAUCUUUUAAGCCUAAUUACGCCAUGAUUUGACAACGUGGUGCUACAGUAAACAUUUACUAAUGAUGGAUUAAUUAGGCUUAAUAAAUUCGUCUCGCAAUUUUUAGGCGGAAUCUGUAAUUUGUUUUGUUAUUAGUCUAUAUUUAAUACUUUAAAUGUGUGUCCGUAUCGCCGAUGUGACACGCUAAAAAUUUUCGUUAGUGAACUAAACAGGCCCUGAAGUAGUAAGACAAUAUGGAUAGCUGAUUUGACUGAUGUGGCAUCCUAGUCCGGGAAACUCCCAUCGAAUGUCAGGAGAGGAGCAAGGCAACGAUGCCUUGUCGGACGGCGACAACAAUUUCAGGAUAGUAGCUCCUCGCUAUUCCUACCCGCACUCCCUGCGAGCUCGCCGAUGUCGGCCGCCGUCUACCACCCUAGCGACCUCGGCAACCGGGUCGAAGGCCAGCGGAUGCAGCGCAGGGCUCAUGGAUUGUGACAUCUUGGCCCAAGGCUUAAUAGAAUUAAUAGAAUACUUACAUCAACAAGUUGCAACUUAUUUUCCAGAAACCGAUAUCUAAAGAACUCUGAGGUUAAGCGUGCUUGGCCUAGUGUGCAGAAAAGACUUGUGUUGGUCUGUGAGGACAGUCUACAACAUAUGAAAGUUGCCAAAUGUAAGUGGGCCUGGCCUGGGAGAGGCGGGGGCUGUUAUUAUUUUAAUUUUUCUCAUUAACAUGUAGGUCUCAUGAGCGUCAUGAAGGAUGAAAUCUCUAUCCAAAGAGACUCGAUUUGCUCUAGGGCCUAGGGAGAGGUGGGGGCUGUUAUUAUUUUAAUUUUUCUCACCGACAGUCUCAUGAGCGUCAUGAAGGAUGAAACCUCUAUCCAAAGAGACUCGAUUUGCUCUGGUUUCGAAAGUUGGGGAGGUGUUAUACUCAGUACUUCCUCCGUUUCAAAAUGUAGCUACCUAGUACUAGAUGUGGCAUUACCUAGUGAACUAAACAGGCCCACUUCAAACGGAGCGAAACGGUAUGGAUCGUUAUUUUUUUAGGGUUUCACCUUCAUAUAUAUUCCUGUAAACCGUCGUUCGGUGUUGUAACCUCACCCGAUAUGGUGAAGAUAUUCGCUGGCUGGCAUCCGUGGUUUUUCCUCUCCUACUUUGGGAGGGUUUUUCACGUCAAAUCUCGUGUCUUCUGUGAUUGAUCUACUAUUCUUUAUUAUUUAUUUGCCUAUCGUUUCCUAAUAGGGUAAAGGUAAGAAAUGAAUGGCUAACAUGUGAGGUUAUUAUUAUUUUAAUUUUUCUCACUGACACGUGGGUCUCUUGAGCGUCAUGAAAGAUGAAACUGCUAUCCAAACAAUCGAGGGACUCGAUUUGCUCUGGUUUCGAAGGUUGGGGAGGUGUUAUACUCUUGAGGGAGACAGAUUUAAUUAGGAGCAAGAGUUGAGGGAGAUGAAAAGAUUUAUUCCUUUGUAUUUCUUUACAAAUUUGUGACCGUCGGAUCGUACCAAGACUUGCCGUUAGGUUUGGGUUUUUGACCCGUUUUUGUUCCGAGUCUGUUUUAUCCUGCCCUCCUCCUCCACUCACUCUAUGUUAUCUGAAAUUUUGUGAUAAAAAAAAUUAUAUAAUACAUUUUGUUCUGUGAUAACUAAUAAUACAAGGUGUUUAUUGUUCCAAACAUUAACUAAUUGGAUUAUAUCAAUUGUACAAAACUACAGGUAUUAUGGUCCAAAUUACACGGAACCAUAUAUAUUUUAGUGCGUAUCAGAGAACCAUAGAUAUUAUGGUUCGAAAAUUCCACAGAACUACACCAUUAACCAUUUUGACAUACUCCUGUAUCAAAAUAGAAAACGUGGGUGUAACAUCGAGAAAUUUCAUUAUUUACCAUCCAAUAUGCUGACUUUCAAGAAUUUACCAUUCAAUUCGUAGGUCUUUAAGAUUUUGCCACCAGAACCAUGAAUUUCUUCAUUUCAUACCACUCCGCCCUCCCGUUCGCAUCGUCCGUCUACACGAAGCCGUCUCGGAACUAGGUCGCCGCCGUUGCCACACCCGAGCUCGUCGGCGACCUUCCCCAAGCUUCGCAACCACCAUCGUCGAUGUUCCCGCUCGCCUCCGCUUUUCCUUCUCCUACCGCCGCCGUCGCCGUCGCUGUCGCGUCGUCUGCGUUUCAUAUUUAGGCUCCUUCCCUGCAUCACCCCUCUCCCACGCUGCCGCCUCCGCCGCAGCCACAGCCCGAAUCCUCUGGUCUCCCAGCCAUCGCCGCCUCGCUCGCCGAUGUCCACACCACCCGCUCCACGAACCCCACCUAGGCAUAGCCACUCACGGCGCUGCUCCCCUCCCCGCUCUCCGAUGCCCACCUCGCUGCCGCAGUUCCGAGCUCAUCGGUGACCGUCCCCAAGCUUCGCUGCCACCAUCGUCGCUGUUCCCGACCUCGUCUGCUGCUGAGGUGCGGCCAUGCCCGAGCUUGCAUAUGGUUGCCGCCGCCAUCCUCUCAGCCGCAGCCGCAGCGUGAAGCCAUCCCCGACCACGCCGCUGUCGAUUGGGGGGAUGACAAAUGAAGAUGAAAUACGUGCGCCAUGGCAGCGAGGGAGGGCCCAGCGAUGGUGGCGGCGGCGCCCUACGUCAGUGUGAACAGAAGGAGACGGAUGAGUUGUAAAUUUGACGGGAGUGGUAUGAAAUGAAGAAAUUCGUGGUUCCGGUGGCAAAAUCUUAAAGGCUUACGAAUUGAGUGGUAAAUUCUUAAAGGUCAGCGUAUUGGAUGGUAAAUAAUGAAAUUUCUCUGUAACAUCUAUAUGAUAGAUAAUACUCAUAAAUUUGAGAUAUGAUUGUAGAUCUCAAAAGUGUGGUAAAUCAAAUUCAAAAUGAUUAGUAAUGUGGUUUUGCGAAACUUUAUAACCAUAAUACCUAAUACCUAGAAUUAUGUGCCACGUGCCAAACUUUACGCAAUUUUGCAAAACUUGGACCAUAAUAGGUAGGGUUUUAUAAAAUUUAUUUUUUUAAGUUGUUUGACACAUAGACUAUCCCUAAUAUUUCCCUUAUACUUUUUCUUUUUUUACUUAUGUAUUAAAUUAAACCAAUAACCAAUUACAUCAUAAUACAUAUAAUCCAUCGAUUCUUUGAUCGAUUCAAACGUAGGCGUUUGUAAGGAAAACGUGCCAUGAUGACUUUGGCUGUGUUUAGAUCCAAGGGUGAAAAUUUUUACCGUGUCACAUCAGAUAUACAAACACACAUUUGAAGUAUUAAAUAUAGUCUAAUAACAAAACAACUUACCACCUGUAAACUGUGAGAUGAAUUUAUUAAGCCUAAUUUAGCAAAUGUUUACUGUAGCACCGCAUUGUCAAAUCAUGGAGCAAUUAGGCUUAAAAGAUUCGUCUCGCAAUUUACACGCAAUUUUUUUGUCUAUAUUUAAUAAUUCAUGCAUGUGGCCAAACAUUCGAUGUGAUAGGGUGAAAAAACUUGUUAGAUCCGUCCCUUUGAGAAAAUACAUUGGCUUUGUUUAGAUUCCAAAAAUUUUUGACAAAAAACAUCACAUCAAAUGUUUGGACACAUACAUAGAGCAUUAAAUGUGAAUGAAAAAAAAACCAAUUGCACAGUUUGCAUGUAAAUUGCGAGACGAAUCUCUUGAGACUAAUUACGCCAUGAUUUGAUAAUGUGAUGCUACAGUAAACAUUUGCUAAUGACGGAUUAAUUAGGCUUAAUAAAUUCGUCUCGCAAUUUACAGGCGGAAUCUGUAAUUUGUUUUGUUAUUAGUAUACGUUUAAUACUUCAAAUGUAUGUCUGUAUGCUUCAAAAACUUUAAAAAAAACUAAACACACCCAUUGUAUGAUAUCAACCAUGGGAAACGGGACGGCUUAUGGUAUCGGGCUAUGGGCCUAAUAGCAUCACUUUGUUAGGGACAGAUUAAUUUAGAUUAAAUUGAAUACAGUAAAUAAAUAAAAAAACAGUAAUUCAAGGUUUACGUCGUUUUUCACCAUCCUAAUAUACUACCUUCUUAAUAUAUAAUAGUCCAUAUUAUAGUACACCCCCAUCCUAAGAUAAUACUAUGAAUAUGUAUCCUUAUUUUUGAUCUGGAGGGUUAGGUGGUUGUACUCAAACACACCAAAGCCGUGUUCAAAGUUCCAAAAGAAACAGUCCAAAGUACAAUGGUCUGAGAGAAAAUGGAAAAUGACCUUUUAGGAUUUUGUAUGAUAUGAAGGGGAAAGAAAAUUGAGAGAAGAUUGAUGUUUGUUAACAAGACAUUCUAAUAAUAUACAGCAUAAUACUAUCCAUACUACUGCACACCAGGGUUUACAAAACUGUACGAACCGUACGAUUAUCGCGCAUUUAUCCAGGUUAUCACAUGCGAUAACCUUUUCAGUUUUUAAACCACGGGAUACCUCGCGGUUACCGUAGUAACCGUCAAACCGUAGUGUUAACCCAAAUGGUUUGGUAAACCCUGCUACACACUAGUAAGCGUGUACAUGCAAUGCACGUCAUUAGUGUCAGGGUUACGGAUAAGGUAUACCCUCUACCCUUGGAUAUACGUCAUAUAUCGAUAUGGUAUAUCUGCGCGUAUACGGACGUUCUUUGUACACGUUAAGGAAAUUCAUCACGGAGUCCACAGAUGGAAGGAAUCCUACUCAGAUAGAACUGGGUCGUCACUGUAUCGUGUAGGGUCCGAUGUCUCCGAGUUCUACUUGGAGACCAACUGACCUACGGUAUAAAAGGGACUCCCUAGGAGGACAUAAGGCAUCGAAUCUUGUCGCCAACUCAACCACCACAGCCAAGUCGCCGGGUGAUCUAGUCGAACCAACUCGACUACGGUCUCGUCGGUAUCAUCGAGUUCUGCUAUUCCCUUUGUAAUCUGUGGUUUCAUCAUAUAAUCCCAUACCAACUGGAUUAGAGCUAUUACCUAUCGAGGGGUCUGAACCAGUAUAAUCCCUGUUUUCUGUUUGCUUGAUGUCGUACUACGUAGAUCUAAGUACAAGCGUACCCUAAUACCCUCUAUAUCCGGUUUACGGGUAUCCCCCGUCGACAAUUAGGCAAUAUAAAUUAACUCUAAUAUACUACAACUUCAAGAAUAUACUCAUUGCAGAAUAUCAUCAGAAGUAGGAGCACACAUUUUCCUUUUUAAAAAAUAACUUUUCAUGUCAAUUGAAUUAACCAAAUAUCUUUUAACAGAUAUGCCAUCUUUACAUAUAAAGUUUGCUUUACAAUAAGUCUAAUUCAACUGACAUUCAGCUCAAAUGUCCAAAGAAAAAUACAAAUAUGGGAUCAAAGGUUUACACCAUACCAAUGCAAAUUCAAUUCCAUGCUGACACACCUAUUGUUGGACACAUAAGAAUUGAAUAAGAUCCAGGCAUACAUUAUGCAUAAGAAUCUUCCUUGUUUUCCUCUUCCACCAACAAUUGAUCAUUAUCAAUUUCAUAAAAGUGGUCUGAAUUCAUCAUGUUUUAAAGUGUUCUAGAUUUCAUCAUCAUAGUUUCUACAAAUAAUAAUACUAUCAUUUAAGUUAUUAUACAUAAACAAACAAAAAGAUCGGAGCAUACCAAACUGGUUCUUACCGGUUCAUUUCGACACACAAAAACGCUCAUUUUGACAAAAGAGAGAUGUUCAGAAUGUAUUCUGGCAAAUGCUUGUAUAUUGCAAGGCCAGUGAACUUAUUUAAGAACAAAUGUUAAUUUAGCUCAUAAAAGCUGAAAUGUAAAGCAUUCUAGACUAUUCUGAAGAUGUAAAGCCCAAUAUAAAUUAAGCAGGGACCAGUAUAUAUCAAUAUAUGUAUACCAUACCGAAAUAGCAAGGCAGUAAUUACCUCAGAGAUAUCCCUCAAUGUCAACAAGAUUAGAUGCAUACUAUUUUUCAUUUGGAUGUAUACAUAUAAAACUAAUCACAUAGUGCAACUUAGGAAAACUGAAUUUCAGUUUGGAUCACAUUGUUUCUAAGCUUUCUGAAAUGGAAUUGACAUACUGUAAGAAAAUUCACAAGAAUCAAUUCACACUCAGUUUCAACAAAACUGUGGAGAUUAUGGGUACCCCAUACCCACACGGCGUGGUUAUCCGACUGAUAUAGGGGAUAACUUAUAUCUAUGAAAUAUGUAACGGAUCAUGACUUGGGUAUUACGUUUCCUUGUAUAUUAUGGAACGGCCUAAAAUCCUGGUUUGAUAAGAUUGUAAAGUAGAUUUAUGAAACCGAUACCGUAUUGGUUAAGGUUUCUAUCUUGUAAUCCUGCCCCCCAUCCUAUAUAAGGUGGGUAGAAGGCCCUCUAGGGGGCAUGAGACAACUAGAUCGUCAGAUCUAUACUACACCCGGUGGAUUCAAAUCCCCAAACAGGAGUAGGGUAUUACCUCUCAUCGAGAGGGCCUGAAUCUGUCUAAAUCCUUUGUCUCCGCAUUCAUCCACUUUUAGGUCUCGUGCGCUACCCUCUUUUAUUAUUGCCGAAUUCUUGUUUCGACAGUUGGCGCCCCAGGUACGUGUUGCGUCGAGUAUUCCGUCGAGAAGUGCGAUGGAACCAAUUUUUCUGGAGAUGUGAUGAGAUCGAUCUCGAUGAGUUCGACGGUUUCAAUUUUCUACUCAGGUUUGCUGUUCCGAUCAAACUUUUAUCAGAUUAAUUUUUCAUUACUCUAUUUGAUCUCUUGAUACUUUCUGGUUCUAUAUAUGCAACUAUGAGAUCAAGGCGAAGCGGUCGGCGACCUCGCACGUCGGGCCGCCAAUCCGAACACCGUCAUGUUGUCCAACAGCCGUCCCUGCACGCGGAGCAGUGCUGAACAUCAAGCUGUCGUCGGCUACAGGGGCUUAUAUACGCUGCAUCGCGCGUCGUCGGCUGUCACUCAUGAUUCAGCCUCAUUGCCCGAUCCGAGUUUUUCGUUUCUUAUCCAUAUAUAUUAUAUUUCUAAUUGCAGAUUGAUCUGUUCCAGCAUUACUUUUUUGACAGUACCGUCGAUGCCAAGCGAUAGCUUAUUUUUUGGCAGUACUCGUGCGUACUCCACCUCGGCUAUGGAGGCUCAACGGCCACGUCAUCAAGUCGUUACAAGCUGUACAUGUAUAUAUGUACAAAUAUAUAUAUGCUUGGGCUGGCAUACGAACACAUGGAUCUGCAUCUGGAGUACAUAAUGGCGGUUGUUUAUCAAAUCGCCUCCGUCGUUAUCGACCGGUGUUCUCGCCUUCAUGAUUGGUUGGUCACACCACCGUUGAUGGGCGUCUACAUCUUUACCGAUCGGCCGCCUCAUCUGCCGCCGACUGCUGUCUCCGUCUGCACGGUUGGCCUAUUAUGCUGCCGUUGAUGGGCGUCUACGUCUUCACCACCGGCUUGCCUUUGCCGCCGCCGACUGGUGUCUUCGCCUAUACAGUUGGUUGGUCACACCACUGUUCAUGGGCGUCCACGUCUUCACCGACCGGCUUGCCUUCGCCGCCGCCGACUAGUGUCUCCGCCAAUACGGCCGGCCUAUUAUGCCACUGUUGUUGGGCAUCUACGACUUCACCGCUGGCCUGCCUUCGCCACCGCUGACUGGUGUCUUUGCCUAUACAGUUGGUUGGUCACACCACCGUUCAUGGGCGUCCACAUCUUCACCGACCGGCUUGCCUUCACCGCCGCCGACUGGUGUUUCUGCCAACACGGCCGGCCUAUUAUGCUGCCAUUGUUGGGCGUCUACGACUUCACCGCCGGCCUGUCUUCGUCGCCGCCGACUGGUGUCCUCGCCUAUACGGUUGGUUGGUCACACCACCGUUCAUGGGCGUACACGUCUUCACCGUCAGCUUGCCUUCGCCGCCGCCGACUGGUGUCCUCGCCUAUACGGUUGGUUGGUCACACCAUCGUUGAUGGGCGUCUUCGCUUUCACCGACCGGCUUGCUUCCGCCGCCGACUGGUGUUUUCGCCUAUACGGUUGGCGGACUCCGCCGCCGUUGAUGGGCCUCGUCAUCUACACCGACUUGCCUUCGCCACUGCUGCCCGGUGUCUUCAUUGCUAUUGAUGGAUGACUUUGUUUCCACAUCGGUCACCUCUAUCGUCACCGAGGGAGAUACAAAAAAGCUAAGUCAUCAUUACUUUUCUUUAUAUGAUAUUUUCCUUUUCCUCUGCCUCACUACAUCAACUGGUUCGCCGUUGACUAGUGAGUCAGGGGCUACAGAUACUAUAUCAUAUUUUUUAACAAUUUUUCAUAAUAUUUAUCUUGAUUGCUUGCAAAAUAAUCCGAGUAACAAUAAAGUUCCCAUCGAGUUAUGGAGUUCUAUCUUCCUAUGCUUUUCGUUUGGUUUGUCGAUGGAUAGUUGCCUUUGGGCCGAUUCCUAGCACCCGGGGGCUCGUUGGAUGGACCGAGUAAUGCAAGGUGCUAAGUAUUACUCGGAAUAAAUCAUAAGCAUAGAGAUGAGAUAAAUUUAUUUUCUGCUCUUAAUAAUUGUAAAAGUACCCAAGUAGUAAAUUCUGAUCCAUGAAACUUUGUUCCAUUAAUAACGAACUCAUGUCACUCAUAUGCAUGUUUGGGAAGUGCCUAGGCCGACUCCCGGUGCUUGGUGGCUAUGACUAGUCGGGCAGAGUGUUUAAACGUAACGAGUCAUCUGCUCGGGGAAAUCAAAAUUGACGAGAGGAGAAAUACAUAUUUAUAAACAUUUUAAAAUACUUGAAUUUUCAUCGAGUAUUAUAUUUACAUCUAUAUGUUCGUUCUGUACGAUCCAGAUCCAGAUAUGCAUAAAAGGGAUUCAUGGCUUUAAGCUUAUCUACUACGCUCCAGGAAUGGAUCAGUCAGAACAUCACCACCGGCUUGCCGUCGUCGUCGCCAACUGGUGUCCUCGCCUAUAUGGUUGGGUGGUCACACUACCGUUGUUGGGCGUUGUUGUCUUCACCGAUCGGCCGCCUCGUCCGCCGCCAACUGGUGUCUUCGCCUAUACGGUUGGUUGGUCACACCACCGUUGUUGGGCGUCUACGUCUUCACCGAUCGGCUUGCCUUCGCCGCCGCCAACUGGUGUCUCCGCCUGCACAGCUGGCCUAUUAUGCCGCCGUUUGUUGGGCGUCUACGUCUUCACCGACAGACUUGCCUUCACCGCAGCCGACUGGUGUCUCCGCCUGCACGGCUGGCCUAUUAUGCCAUUGUUUGUUGGGCGCCUAUGUCUUCACCGACCGGCUUGCCUUCGCCGUUGCUGACUGGUGUCUCCGCCUGCACGGCUGGCCUAUUAUGCCGCCGUUGUUGGGCGUCUAUGUCUUCACCGACCGACCGCCUCAUCCGCCACCGACUGGUGUCUUCGCCUAUACGGUUGGUUGGUCACACCGCCGUUGUUGGGCGUCUACGUCUUCACCGUCGGCUCGCCUUCGCCGCCGCCGACUGGUGUCUCUGCCUACAUGGCUGGCCUAUUAUGCCGCCGUUGUUGGGCAUCUAUGACUUCACCGUUGGCCCGUUUCGCCGCCGCCGACUGGUGUUCUCGCCUAUAAGGACGGUGGACUCCGCCUCCGUUGAUGGGCGUCAUCAUCAUCUUCAACGCAAGCUGUCUACGUCUGCUGCCGACUGGUUUCUUCACUUCCACGGCUGCAUGAUUAUGCCAGUGUUGAUUGGCCUUAUCAUCUUCACCGUCGGUUGUCUCGUCUGCUGCUGACCAGAGCCAUCGCCUCUACGGCUAGUUUAUACCACUACCACUACUGAUGGAUGUCAUCAUCUUCAUUGCUGGCCGCCUUGUCUGACGCCGACUGGCUUGUUCGUCAUCAUUGACUGGCGUCAUCGUCAUCGUUGGUUUGCCUUCGCCGCAGCUCAUGGUGUCUUAACUUUCACGGCUGGCCUAUUUUGCCGCCACUCAAGGACGUCUUCCUUUUCAUCAUUAUUCUACUUCUUCCGCCGCCGACUUGUUAUUAUCUUCACAACUGCGCGUCUUUGCUACCGGUUUGCUUCUGUCAUCGACUCAUGUUCACUUCAUCAUGGCUGUGCAACUUUGUCACCAUGGUGGAGCUACUUCAUCUUCAUUGUCUUCAGCACCGGCAAACUCUAUUGCCGCUACUUCGCAAGUUUUGCUACUUCACCAGCCAUGACUUCUACAAGAGCUUUGACAUCUCGGUAUGCGUCGCCAAAUAUGAUGCCAUGUUAUUAUAACAAGUGGUGUUCUAGUAAAGAUUUCUACCCGGACAUCCUCAAUACAUAUCUUCACUCAAGUGAUGGCUACUCGACGACAAUAAACUACAGUUCUCGACUCUAUGUUCAGUUGCUUUCCAACUAACCAAAGAGUCGGGGGCUACACAGAUACAAGACUCUCAAAAUUCGACAAGCUGAAGAAAUCAAUUAAUCAGUCAACGAGUCAACUCCAGGAGUCAUUAUCUUUAUCUUUGCUUCGGAGCAGACAUUCUACUUCAGCAACUCCAAUUAUUUCACCAGCAAUUUUGGUUUCUGGAAGCUGCCAUAAUCUACUCCAAAUUUUUCAAGUAUCAAGUUUGAGAUUCUAUCUACAUGUUCGGGAGUUUAGAGUUAUCAACCAAUCAGCUCAGUUUCGAUGAGUUGGACAACAACAUUUACUUUCCUUCAAGUGAAGCAUCUACAACAGCUACAAUUCCAAGUUCUACUGCCAUCUUUAUAGAUCAAGAAGCGUUGCAUCAGUCUUCUUUAUGCACACGCUCGCAUCAAUGAAACUACUCGAGCUUUGAUAUCUUCUCAACAGUUUGAUGGAUUGUUGUUAUUGACAUCAUCACCAGCAAAUCUACUUCAUCGGCCCUGAUGUCUCCGCCGUUGCUAAGCGGUGACUACGUCCUCGCCGUCGGUUGCUUUUGUCAUCACCGACUUUCAUCGCCGACUUGUUAUUUCGUCUUCACGGUUGGCCUACUACGCAACUGCCGAUAGAGGAUCUCAUCGUUAUCAUCGGCUGCUACACCGCUAUUGACUGGAUCACCGACAUCGUCAUCUUCAUCAAUAUCCUGUCAAGCCUCUUCAACAUAGCCUAUUCUACUGCUGUUUGAUGGGCAUCUUCGUCAUCAUAGUCGCUCAUCUAUGAUUGCUGCUUAUCAUCAUUACUGUCGGUUGCAUUUGCCGUUGCCAACUAUUUUCUUCAUCUUCAUGAUUGGUGGAUUUCGUCAUCGCCUUUAAUGCGUGUCUACAUCUUCACCGUCGGCUUGCUUUCGUCACCACCGACCGGUAUCCUCGCCUUCACGGAUGGCUUAUUAUGUCACCACUAAUGGGCAUCUUCAUCUUCUUCAUCAGCUGCCUUGUCUAUCACCGACUUCAUCACUUUUGAUUGGUAUCACUAUCUUCACUACCACCAAUAUUUUUGCCACCUCAGGUGGGCAAUAUUAUCUCUAUAUUGGUCGUCUUGUCUCUAUGCCAACUGCGUCGGCUACCAUCAAUGGACCAUUCUGACUACGACAGAAGGACAAGCUAUAUGAUCAGGGGCUUACUAACUCAAACACAAGUAUCAUACCUUCAAUUUGAACUCGUUCUGGAUACAUGCAACAUGAAUUCAUGAUCAUGGGUCUAUUUUCUAUGCUCAAAGACUGGACUAUUUAUUAUUCCCCGUAAGGUUCAUCAACCGAAUACUCGCGCCAAUCGGGAUUCAAUUAUUAUAUAUAUUUUGGAGUAUCCUAUAAGGGAUAAUCACUCAGAUCAUAAGCUAUUCAUAUGAGCUACACUUGGUCUAUAUCACCCGGAAGAUUUAUUACUCAGGAGCAUGUUACAUGCGUCAUCCUUUGAAGGGUGUCGAAGGCAUAUUUUUUGGCCUAGGCCUAAUAUAUCUGCAGCCCAUAUUUUCACGUUCUUUUAGGGACUUAGGCACUUUUUGCUUAGGCCAAAGUGCGCGUGAUCAAGUGCCUAAUACCUUAAAAUCCUUUUAUACCGCAGUUACUCAACUUUUUAGGAGUUGGUACAAUGCAUCUUAAAAGGUGUCAAACAGUAAAACUUUAUAUAGCUGACCCGCUGACUUUUUUAUAUAGGUCAAGGUGCUAUUUGGGUUUUUAAGCAAUUGAUUGGAUAUAAUAUCAUUGCUUUUUGCCAUGUAAGUGUGCAUUUUUAUUGACUAAUAUUAAGGCUUAGGCUGAUUAUAUAUCUUGGUCAUUUUUCAAGCGGUUGGUAAAUCCUUUAUGAGUUUAUUUACUCGGAUUUUACACCACAUAUAUCGUAUAUUUCCGGGUGUGGUGAAGCCAUGUGUCUUUUAGGGACUUAAGCACAUCUGUUAAAGCAAUGUGCGCAUGGCGUAUGCCCAAUACUUUGGAAAUUUCUUUAUUCACAACAUACAAGCUUCUUUAUAGCUGUUUUGCUAUGUGAAUUUUCAAAGAUGUUGUCAACUUUAGGUUGCACGCAUCAUAUUCUACAAAGCAGUCGGUAUAUCACUUGGAUCAUAUUAUUCGGGAUUUCACACCGCAUAUACUAUAUAUUGGUAUCAAGUCACUUGGUUGACUAUAAUUAUCAAAAACCACUCAGUUGGUUGGAUUAUUUAUUCCCUGACUAUAUGCUUAGUUUAUUCAAUUAACCCCAUAGUCGGGAGCUACACCUAUUAGGUGCAUCUAGUCGAUGCACCUAAGUUUACAUUCAGUUAUUUUUCAGCCCUCCACAGUCUUCAGAUUUGGUAAAAGUACUUAGGAGACCAUGGCAAAGAUGAUUGAAGCACUCGGCUUUGGAGUAAUCUGGUUCGAGAGAAGAUUAUCUUUUCGACUGUGAAGGUCUCAGGGGCUACUGUGGAGAUUAUGGGUACCCCAUACCCACACGGCGUGGUUAUCCGACUGAUACAGGGGAUAACUUAUAUCUAUGAAAUAUGUAACGGAUCAUGACUUGGGUAUUACGUUUCCUUGUAUAUUAUGGAACGGCUUAAAAUCCUGGUUUGAUAAGAUUGUAAAGUAGAUUUAUGAAACCAAUAAUGUAUUGGUUAAGGUUUAUAUCUUGUAAUCCUGCCCCCCAUCCUAUAUAAGAUGGGCAGAAGGCCCUCUAGGGGGCAUGAGACAACUAGAUCGUCAGAUCUAUACUACACCCGGUGGAUUCAAAUCCCCAAACAGGAGUAGGGUAUUACCUCUCAUCGAGAGGACCUGAACCUGUCUAAAUCCUUUGUCUCCGCAUCCAUCCACUUUUAGGUCUCGUGCGCUAUCCCCUUUUAUUAUUGCCGAAUUCUUGUUAUUAUUGCCAAAUUCUUGUUUCGACAAUUCAGAAGUAGGCAACAUUCAGAUAUUGCACAUUCAAUUUUUGUAGAAGGAACCAUCAGCAAAUUUGUACAGGUCCCAAGUGUUGCUGUUCCAGAUGAUCAAAGGCUCAAAAGUCAUGGCCAUCACUUCUCAAGAAGGGCUACUGCCUACACAGUGCAGUUUCAGCUGCCAAACAAUCUUCAGUCUGGUUUGUGCUCUUGUAAUGAGCUAUUGUGCUGGUGCCUGGUGGUCAUCUCACCUGCCUGUAGGAAAAAAACUCUCUAAACUGAAGCAAUUAAUUGAUCAAGAUUGCCUGCAAGAUAAUUGAGUAAAGGAUUAGAUUAGGCAUCAUGCUAAAUUAUUGAAAUCGUUGCAUUAAUCAUAUACAUUUUAAGAGAUUAUUUAAAUAGGUGUAUAACUGAUAAUUCUCAUGAUCAGAUCCUAAUCACUCGAAAAGGUGCAUCACAUGGACUCAGAAGAAUUGCAUCUAUUUUUAGAAAGAAUAUUGUUUGCAGUGCUCUUAAUCUCAAUAUUUCAUUUUUACCAUUUGAAUUUUGUUCUUGCAACUGGGGUCUGGAGGCAGUAGAAUGGUAAAAAUGAGAAUGCCAUUUGCCUAAAUCAAUGCGAACAAACCUUUUUUCCCUCAUGAAUAUUGAUCUGAGCUAAAGCUUGCAUCAAAAAUUAGCUUCGAAGCUGGCAAUUGGCACCUCUAAAAAUGUUUUCUCAACUAAAAGAACGACAAACAUAAAGGAGAAAUGGUGUUGUACUAAAAAUAUUGCACAAAGUAAUGUUUGUGAAAUCGUUGUCAUGAUUAAUGUUUGUGAUGAAUAAUUGGCUAUGCAAAUGAUUUAAUUAGUGAAUUGGUUUGGAAAGAUGUGUGGAUGUUGGUGUGAGUGCGUGUGACUAAUGUGGGUCAGGUUGUGAUAUCUAUGCCCAGGAACAGUUGUUUUGUCUGAUUGUGUACAGGUGACUUGAGGUCAGCCUUGGUCAAUGGUGAUGUCUGAUUGUGUGCAGGUGAUUUGAGGUCAGCCUUGGUCAAUGGUGAGGAUCGGGACUAUGUUCAGGGAGGAACAUAGGUCUAGUGCGGUCAGGAUACCAUGUGAAAAGGUGACUAGAGUCAGGAUUCUUGGAGGUCAACUUCGGUCAACGGUGGGGACCGGGACUAAACUCAGGGAGAAGUUGAGGUCCAAAUGGUCAAGGAUACCGGGUGACGAAGUUGAAUACAAGAUGGCACACGGUGGAUGGACACCGUGUGUGAGAGAUCUUCGCAACGGGUUUUAUGAGGUGUGCGUGCAAGCGUCGGUGUUCGCGAGGAGGAAUGAGAAAAGAUGGAGAUGUACAUGUACGGUGGAGGGCAUGGUUGCUACAGUACUCGAUGUACUGUAGCGUGUAGUUUGCAUGAACGUGAUGUACAUGUGUGCAGGUAGCAUGCAUGUAUGCAGGUCCGUGGCUUGGACUGGGAGGAGCAGCAGUGGCUCGGUUGGAUGGCAGGCCGAGUCGGCCCAGGCGGCCAGGAGACCGAGUGCGAGCUGGCGAAGGAUCGGUACGGAGGCGUCCGAUCCGGAGCAGGAUUUUCCAUGGCUGGUACGGCUGUGGUUUUGGAGAAAAGGAAAUUGAGGAAUUGAAUCCUGUUGGAAAUAGAAGCUCUACACCUAAUUUGACACCUACUUUGAGUAGGGGAUUUUUACGGUAUAAAUAGAGAGGAAGCGUGAGGCUUCCUGUAUAGCUUUUCAUAGCAAUUGAGUUUCUAGUUUAGUUAGGGUUUCGAGUUUAGUCGAGAUUUUUGUAAGGAGUGCUGUUGGUGCACUUUGUAAACACAGAGAGAAGCAAUAAAGUUGUCAUCUACUUUGAGAGUUCUUCGAUUUGUGUUUCUUCGGGUUCAGGCGGCAGGGAGGCGAUCUAACCGGCGGCGUGCGAGCGGUCCGACCGGCGGCGACAGGACUACGUCGAGAUUUCCAUCGAUUUGAGGGUAACUUUUAUUUCCGCUAAAAGUUUUUGGGUUUUUGGUUUUCCUUACCAUUCACCCCCAUCUGGUAGGCUUGGUUACUUGUGUUCGAUCCUGCAAGUGGUAUCAGAGCCUCGUUUUCUUCUUUGGAUUUUAACCGAUCUAAAGUUUUUGCCAUAGCUAAUAAGUUUACAACUAAGCCCCAUGUUUUCGAUGGAACGGAUUUUCCUUAUUGGUGUAGUAAGAUGCAAUCUUAUAUUCAGGCUGAGGAUCUUGAUAUUUGGAGGAAAGUUUCUAAUCCUUAUGUGAUUCCGGAUCAAAUCAGUACUGCUGCUUUAAAAACUGAAUUUGAACAAAAUUGCAAAAGCUCGCAAUAUUUUAUUGAGUGGGAUUUCUCGUUCGGAUUUUGAUCGUGCUUCACAUUUUCAAACUGCUCAUGAGAUUUGGAACGCUUUGAAAAAUUUUCAUCAAGAAACUUCAAAUAUUAAAGAACUUCGUCGUGAUCUUUUUAAAAAGGAGUACAUUAAGUUUGAGAUGAAACCUGGAGAAGCUUUGGAUGACUAUCUUUCUAGAUUCAACAAAAUUUUGAGUGAUCUUAGAUCGGUUGAUUCUGCUUAUGACAAAAAUUACUCUCAAUCUGAAGUUUCUCGUCACUUUUUGAAUGGUCUUGACAUGUCUAUUUGGGAGAUGAAAUUUACAUCAAUUCAGGAGUCUGUCGAUAUGUCUACUUUGAUUUUGGAUUCACUUUACACAAAACUGAAAACACAUGAGAUGAAUAUUCUUUCUCGUAAAAUUGAUUCUAAUUCUAGUGCUUUGGUUUCUUCCUCGACUUCUUUGGAUGUUGGUGCUUCUUCAUCAAAUUCUACUGUUCUUGCUUUGAUUAAUGCCAUGUCCGAUGAGUAACUCGAACAGUUCGAGGAGGACUUGGUUUUGGUUACUAACAAACUUUCUCGAGCUGUGGCUAAUGUUAGGUACAGGAAAAGAGGUGGACCAAAUCGUUGUUUUGAAUGUGGUUCUACGGAUCACUUUCGUUCACGAUGUCCUAAGCUUGGGAGAGGCAAGAAGGAAGAUGAUGGUAGAGUUUUGGAGAAUGAAGUUGACAAGAAGAAGAUCACGAAGGAGAAGAAGAAGAAUUGCAUGCAGUGGCUAAUCCAAGAAUUAAUAAGAACUUUUGAUGAAUCGGAGGAUGAAGAUGAGAGCAAAGGUAAGCAAGUUGUUGAUCUAGCUUUUAUUGCUCGUAAUGCAAGUUCUGAUGUUGAUGAAUCUGAUAGUAAUAGUGAAGAAAAGCUUAGUUAUGAUCAAUUAGAAUAUGCUGCUUUCAAAUUUGCUAAAAAACUUCAAACAUGUUCUAAUAUGCUUGAUGAGAAGGAUCACACUAUUGAGAUUCUAAAUGCUGAAUUGAUAGAUUAAAAUAUUUGAUUCCUAAUGAUGAUGACUGCAAAUCUUGUAAAGUUUUAUUUUCUGAAAUUAAUGCUUUGCAAGAUGUCUAUUCUGUUAAUUGCAAGAAAUUGGAAUCUGAGAUUGAAAAAUCUAAAAAGUUGGAGUCUUCUUUUGCUCUUGGAUUUGCUUUGCAUGAUCGUGUUCUUGAUGCGUUGAUUUUGACAAAAAACGUUUUGAAAAAAGUUUUGGAGGCUUGGUUACUUGUGUUCGAUCCUACAAUGUUUUGGAGCAUUUAGAUAAAUUUUGUACCCCAUUCAUAUGUGCCUUCAUGAAUUCCAUCGAAGAACUGUAACCCAAUUAGGCUGUUUGAAUAAACUCUUUUCACAAAGAAGACCCCUGACCUGCACUGUUUUGUAUUCAACGUGGUGAACAAAACAGUGGAAUCAUAGCAAAGUGUAGCGCUAAUUUGAUAGACUAUCUUUGAAACAAUAAAUAUUGCUGUGUAGAAUUAACAUUGAAAUGUAUAUAUCCUAUAAUGACAGUGCCACAAUUUAUCUCUGAUCAUAUGAAAAAAACAUUUAGCAUAAAAUUGAGAAAAAGUGAUAACGCAUAUGACCCUACACCAAUCGUAAAAUAUAUCAUCUUGUAAGCAAGAUGGGUGGGCAAAUUCAUUAAUACUAUAAUUUUUCUCAUGAAGGAAGAUUAAUGUGCAACAAUUUUUCUCCAAUCCUCACAACAUUUUUUUCCCGAGGUCAGCCAUUUAUAAAAUUAAGCAUGAUCUCUUCGUAUUGUUUUUUUGUCGACUAAAUUUGUUGAUAUUAUAGAGUAAAACAAAAAUUUAGGUUUACAGAACAAAUAUUAGACUAGAUUUAUGAUCAUGUUUCUUACUAUGAGUGGCAGGAGCGGUCCAUGGUCUUCUGAGUUUUUCCUGAUGACCAAGGAUGAUAGCAUCACGUUGAAGACGAUAGGAUCUUAUUUAUUCUUUUUCCUUGGAUAGCUCCUGCACAGCAUACAAUGAGAAUCAUCAUUUUGCAAACUUAAUCAGAGUAAGAACAGUAAUACCAAAGUGAUAUUUGCAAUGCGGAUGAAUCUCAAAGUUCAAUUAUCAAUCUAUAGUUAAAGCAACAUAAUAAAAAUGUAAUACCAAAGCCUGUAUCACAUCACGGAGUUCCCAACCAAAGGAGAAAUGGGAAUUAGAAUACAUGAAGAAGAAAAGAUAGCGCCAAAAUCAGAACUGAAAAGCUAAGAUAAUAAACAUGCUUUACUCAUUUUAAAUAGCUAUGGAAGAUAAGUACUAUCAUAAACUGCACUGCGCAGUUUCUUUUAUAACCAUAAUUUCAGCACGUAUCUAGUUAAAUAGAUCGGACGAGCAUAUGAUUAAUCAACCCAUCUAGAUAUAAUUAAAAAAUCUUGGUCCAUGUAUCUGGCUCUUCGAUUGUGCAUGCAGUCUAGCUAGAUCAACUCAUUUAUAGUACGAGUCAUCUACUGAUAUGGCUUUUUUUUUUGCCCUUUUAUGGCACCAACCAUGGAGUACUGUAUAUGGUAGCCGUUGCAGCAUGCUCUGUUGCAAUCAAUCUGAGAAAACAGCUCGUUAGUCUUGAGAAAACAAAGCAUUGUCCUAUUCCAAACAUUGGCACACAAUCAUGUAAAAAUACCAAAAAUGAUAUAAACAUACCUAACAAAAUCAACAGUUCAGUUUUUAUUUAUUCAUCACUCUGGCAUCUCGCAAGAGGGCAAAGGCACAGAAAGAAAAGGCACGACCAUCCAUCCAUACAAACCAAAUUGUCCACAAAAUACAAUCAACUUUCCGUAUCACCCAAUCAUAAAAUCUAGUCAGCUCCCAUUAUUUUAUCGAUUUUAUUGUUCUGAUCUUAAAUUAACUCGGAGAUAACAUGAAAGAUCGAAAGGCUAAUUCUGACAAGUGUGCCCCUUAAACAGUAAAGUCCAUAGCAAAAUGAUGCAACUAUAGGAUACCUAGACCACGCCAAUAAACUGGAGGAAAAAUUAAGUUCCCAAAAAAUAUCAAGGGCCACAAGAAUAGUCUUUCAAAGAGAGUAUAAAACACAAAUCUCUACAGUGGGCUAAAGGAAGGGUUGAAGUCAUUCAAGUGCAUAUUCACCAAGGUACUGUUUGUACAUAUAAUUGAAACCAAGAAACAACCAAAGUAAGAAAAUAAUCUCAGUUACAACAAUAAGUAAGAUUUUGAUGUAUCGAGAGCUAGGAGUACUUGAAGAUACUUUCCUCACACAGUGAACAUUAAACAAAAUCGAAACCCUUCCAGUAAAUCACACAGUGAACUCACCUUCAGUUUAAGAAGCACAAAAGGAACACCUUCCAGUAAAAAAUCUGCAGAGGAUGUUGUGUUCUAGAAUCGGAACCCUCAAUUCAAGGAGUUGUGCAGCAAUGAGUUACUUUCAUCUGGGAGCAAAUUAAUCAAGCAUGACAAAAGGUAUAUAUAUGGUUCAUGUUUGCAACUCCACCCUCUCUUCUUUCCUCCAUGAUGGUCUCCUUCGAAAAAAAACCUGCCAAGGAGAAAACCAACCAACCAAUUUUAGCCAAAAAAAAGAAAGAAAAAAAAAAGGAAGGAAUAGAGCAGAGCACUGACACCGUUUUAUCUUUUCAAUCUCUUUAGUUUCACCUUUUGUUGUCACAGCCAGCACUGUCUUCUAACCAUUGCCAAUAGAGCCACAACACAGCAAUCACUGAAGUCAUUCCAAGAAGGGACAGAUACAGGGCUAUCAAAUUUCAGUUUCACUCCACAAAAAGCAGACAAUAUACAUGUGAAUCAAGAUAUACCGUGGAUGAGUCGACGUGUGGGGAUGGCGGAUCCGUGGGUACAGGCUAUCACUAGGGGACACCGCACUCCUCCAUUUGGAACGCCCUCACUCUCACCUCAUGUUCUUCUUCCCUGCAGAGGCGAUGGACAGCAAAAAAUAGAUGGGUAUAAACGAAGACAACAACCUGAGGGAAAGAGGGACCGACCUAAGAGGUGACGCGCAGCAAGCGGCCAAAAGCUCCACUGGAUUUGUACCGCCAUCUAGGUUUGGAGCCUGCAACGACAGCGAGGUUGAGCGAAGGACAGAUCGGUGAUGAGGGGCAAGCUCGAGAGCCUGGCAACGUACGGCUCUCCUCUUCUCGCUGCAGCCACCGCCUUCCUUGAUGUCGGUUCUGUCACCACUGCCGUUUCUUCGAUGGCAGCGGCAACGGAGGGCGGAGCAGCAGCCGUCAGCGAUGGCGCCGAAGGACGCAGUGGCAGCGCUCGGCGAUGGCAGCGGCAGUGGAGGACGGUGCUGCGGCAGUGCUCGGCGACGGCGGAAGCGGCGGAGCGAGGCAGAGGCGUUCGGCGAUGGGGAUGGCGGGAGGCGGAGGUGGUAGCAUGAUUGGGAGGCAGAGGGGGCACUCGGCGGUGACGCGACGGCGGCGCGAGGGGGAGGUGGAGGCGGCGGCGCUGGUGACGGGGACAGCGUGAGGGGAGGCAGAGGCAGCAGUGGGGGAGAGGGAGUGGGAGUGGGAGCAGGCCAUGGCGGCUAGGGUUUGGGGGUGGUUAGGGUUAGUGGGUGUCCUUUUGCGAAAAAGCCACUCGGCUUCCGCAUUUUAGAGCGUAGCCCUAAUCCGUGAUUUUUCUCUUCUUCACAUGCAAUAUCCAUAUUUCCUAAGGGAAUCCACGUAAAAUAACACCUCAGAGGUACUGUUUGGGAAGGAGCUAGAUCGAAUUACGCACAAAUCGGAGGACUUUUUGGCAAAAUUCUACCGUGCGCGCACUGUAGCACUCCGACGUGGCAUCACCCAGCGGCCGCCCCUACCGCGCUGCUCAAUGUUUUCCGAUAUACAGCUUAAUACCAUCUACUAUACAGAUAGAAGUCAUCUCUAGGAUCAAAGCAUUAAUUGAUGUAAUCUAUUUGAAAUGGCUAACUAGACAAUCCGUUGUAUGGGUUUGUCUAAUAUUUUAUUUAGAUAUGAUGUGGAAAAUUAUAUAGUCAACGUCAGAUUAAACACGAGGUUAAAAGACUAAUUCAUUAAUGUGGAUAGAAAACGAGGAGGGAGUAUUACUGAUUCGAUGGCUAAAGAGAACUAGUGAAACCCACUCUAAAAUUACAGUACUUAUUAUAGUUCAGAAAAGAAAAUUGUUGAAUAGGAGUAACAUCGUUUAUUCAAAUGGCACCACUUUCCCUGUAAUCUAGAAACUAAAAAUAAAUAAAUAUGCAUACUAAUGUAAUUAGCCUUGACAACUACAAAGCUAUGGACUGGAGUUAAAUCCCCCUAGUAGAUAGGAUCAACAAUUUGAAUGCAUAACAUGUGACAUUUCAGUUUUUUUUUCUUUUGCAACAGUUCAGGAUUACAAGAUUUAUGCAGACAGCUUAAAAUCUUGCAGCAUAAUGAGGAAGCACAAUAUGAUAAAACUGUAGACAGGUAAAUUUCCUUAUCCCCAAAAAAAAAUAACAAAUCAAAAAUCACUAGUAUAUAAUUGAAAUAUUUUGACUGUUGUUUACUGAUUGAAGUAGGACUUCGAUUACUUGACAAGGAAUGCUUACAAAAGAAGUGCAGAAAAUAACACAUGGAGUACUAUACAAAAGGAUUCAUCAAUGAACAUCAAGGAUUUGUCUUCAAUGGUCAGAGUUCCAUCAAUGUAUUUUUUAGAACACGCAAGAGAUCUGCGUAUUAUUCAUUAAGACAGAGAAGUUCCAUCUAUGUAUAAGGGGGCACCAAAGGCAUGUUACAUUAGACUAGUGGCAGAAGAAAGUCCCCAGCAUUCAUUCUAAAAAUUCUUGAUUCCAAGGGACUUUGGAAAAGAGACUGGGAGAUUUGAGCACAUUAAAUGAAAUUGGAAAAAACUUGCUACCAUUCACAACAUUAACGACACUUGGUUAAGCAAUACAGAUUGUGUACUGAAUUUAUGCCCACAUGCAUCAUGCAUGCAAAGAUCAGUACAAUAAAAGAAUGGACAAAUUGUACAUAUAGGCUAUAUAAAUUUCACAUGCGUACAGAACACAACAUGAAACAUAUAACAUCUCUACUUCAUUAGAUACCAACUAUAUUGUGCUCUGUAAAACAUCCAAACAUUGCAGUGAAACAUUGUAUAACAUAUGAUUUAAGCACAAUGAGAAACACUCAAAUGAUUAACUUUGCCACCUAAAUUAGAGACUGUCGCAUUACAUUGCUACUUGUGAAGACAAUGAUAAAGAUACAUGCAGAUAGCCACCAUACAGGUCAGCACCCAGGUCACAGAUGAGGCAUGUAAACUACUGCAAAAGGGACAGGACAUGGCUAAAACCUACACCUAAAAUGAUUCUGCAGUUUGUCAUCUAGAGUACAUACAGACAAUUAC